CUGUAUCCUGGAGUUCCUCUGAACGCUUCAUGUGAAGGGCUAGCGUUAGAAGCCUUCUUCAAUGAAGUGUUUGGGGGAACUCUUGGGCUUAA
rnacentral:pre_miRNA from 1 species